rnacentral:lncRNA from 1 species
GGAUGGUCUUGAAGGACUGGAUUGGUCUCUUCCCAUCUUGAUGAUCACGUGACAUCACAGGAGCAGGUCCUGGGCAUUCCUGAGGAUGACACAUGGGAGACAGUUGUUGGGCAGCUGAGCUGUUCGGAGUCUGUUCCCUUAUCCAUUAGUUACCAUCUUCAUCAAGGUCAAGCAGGACCCAUCGGGUCACUGGAGCCACCACUGUGGAGGGGCUUCAGUCCCAGCACUGAAAGUCUUUGGCCUUAGGAGUGUGACUGCUCUGGAGUCUUGGGAAUGGUCUAACUGGGGAGCUUCCUUAACAGAGACCACAAAACCUACAGAGGAGGUGAAAUGUCUCACCAGAAUUAAUGCUCUGUUUUCCAUCCCUUUUGCUGUUUUCUAGAGAAGCUCUGUCUCCUCCUGUAUGUGGAGAUGAAGGCAUAUGGCAAGGGAGAACACAUAGUGUGUUUUGCAGUAAAAAUUAGACUAUUUUUAUCUCUGAAGAGCUCUCAUUAACACCUAAUUUCCAGGUAAAGGAGCCACUUGUUUUUCCUUCCUUCCUGAACACUGAAUGAGGGGUAUUUCAUAACUCUGUUCUGUAGCGUGAUGAAACCUGCAGGAUCCAAAACUCCUUUCAUAACUCACCGUGCCCAUCGCUUUGUCUGGGUUAUAAAUUCAAGCUGUUGCCACCAGCCUCCUUUUUUCUCUUCAAUAUUUUAAUAUUGCAUCUAAUAUUUAACAAGCAUAGAAACGAUGAAAUUGCUAUGGAAUGUGUGACACAGAGCUGUG